GCAGUAGAACGCUGAAGACUUUAGCUUGCUAAAGUUGGAAGAGUUGCGAACGGGUGAGUAACGCGUAGGUAACCUGCCUACUAGCGGGGGAUAACUAUUGGAAACGAUAGCUAAUACCGCAUAACAGCAUUUAACACAUGUUAGAUGCUUGAAAGGAGCAAUUGCUUCACUAGUAGAUGGACCUGCGUUGUAUUAGCUAGUUGGUGAGGUAACGGCUCACCAAGGCGACGAUACAUAGCCGACCUGAGAGGGUGAUCGGCCACACUGGGACUGAGACACGGCCCAGACUCCUACGGGAGGCAGCAGUAGGGAAUCUUCGGCAAUGGGGGCAACCCUGACCGAGCAACGCCGCGUGAGUGAAGAAGGUUUUCGGAUCGUAAAGCUCUGUUGUAAGAGAAGA
rnacentral:rRNA from 1 species